GGACCUGCACCAUUGUGACUUGGUGAGCUUGUGUCAUCCAUGGGCAGCCCUUUGUCUCCCUGUUUUAGAGCAAGCACAAGUAUUCUUUGUUUCUGGUGGUUUACUGUGUGGUGAUGAAGGCCUUUUAACUCUUGCUGAGCUGGAACUUAGCAUGUCAUGAGUGUUGGAAAAAGAUAGACCAGGUGAUGAUCUUUUGAACUUUGAAAGCUGAGAAAACCCCAGCAAAUGAAGUCCAUAGCAGCGCCUGCCAGUAGCUGAAGCAUCCAAAUCAACUGAGGAACCAGGAAGCCUUGAUCUGCCCAUCAGGGAAUCAAGCCACCAGUCAAGACAGCAUUGCCUGCAAGCAAAGAAAUGGGUCAUCCAUGAGCUAUGCCAUACUUAGAAAUAAACUUGAAGAGAGAAAUGUUUGAAGUAA